AGUGAACGCUGGCGGUAGGCCUAACACAUGCAAGUCGAACGGCAGCACAGUAAGAGCUUGCUCUUACGGGUGGCGAGUGGCGGACGGGUGAGGAAUACAUCGGAAUCUACUUUUUCGUGGGGGAUAACGUAGGGAAACUUACGCUAAUACCGCAUACGACCUACGGGUGAAAGCAGGGGAUCUUCGGACCUUGCGCGAUUGAAUGAGCCGAUGUCGGAUUAGCUAGUUGGCGGGGUAAAGGCCCACCAAGGCGACGAUCCGUAGCUGGUCUGAGAGGAUGAUCAGCGACGCCGGAACAGAGACACGGUCCAGACUCGUACGGGGGGCAGGAGUGGAGAAUAUUGGACAAUGGGAGCAAGCCUGAUCCAGCCAUACCGCGUGGGUGGAGAAGGCCUUCGGGUUGGAAAGCCCUUUUGUUGGGAAAGAAAAGCAGCAGGUUAAUACCCCGCUGUUCUGACGGUACCCAAAGAAUAAGCACCGGCUAACUUCG
rnacentral:rRNA from 1 species